GUUUGAAUGCUGUCUAUGCUGCAUAGGAGGGCCCAGGCAACUUACCUGGGCUCCGGGCCCUUUUACUAGGCUAAUAAUCUCUGCCCAGCUGAGUAACAGAAAGGCUGAGCAAAGCCCCUGGGGAUGAGGCCAGGGGAAGGGUUAGAGGGCUCAAAGUGGACAGUCCAGACCAAAGGCAGGGCAGGAAAACAAGUUCAAGGAAGACUGACAGACUUCAGGGAUGGAGGAAAGGAGGAGGGAAAAAAGAGAAGAGGAGGAAGAAGAGGGAAGGAGGUAGGUGAGGGAGAGGUGGCUAACCAGAUGGAUGAAGAAGAGAUGGGAGAGCAAACAGAUGGAUAGAUAGACAUACUCAUGCAUGGAUGGAUGGACAAGUAGAUGAAUGGGUAGAUGGGUAGCCAGGAGAGACAGGCAGGCAGAUGAAAAGCAUAGGAAAUGACGUCUUUGAGCAGAAGAGUUUGUCUGUUGGGGUAGAGAGCCAUAUACCCAUCUGCCUGAUCCUUGGGGUAGGAGUGUUCCAAGGUGUGUCCCUCAAACACUGAUGUUAGGGAAGGGCUGACCAGACAGGUGGCCUGUUCUUUACAGGGCCCUGUGGGUCUUCCCUGUGUCCGGCCUCACGUUAAGCAUGGAAUCCCCAGGCCUCUCUACACAGCCCCGUAGAAAAGAGAAAGCUUGACUCCUUGUGGGCUGGGGAACUCUUCUGCAUGUAAGCCCGCCCCUAUCCGAGGGCUAACCCCCUCUCCCAUUAUGAAAUUCCACGGUGGCUGCUUCCUUCCUGCUUUUGAGGAAAAAACACUUUGUCUUGAGCUUCCGCUCCUCUGAGAGACGGGGGAUCUCUGUUUCCUCCGAUUGCACUGUCCUGGGGCCUUGGUGACUUGCCCCAACCCUCCAACAGAACAGGAAGUGGCUCCAGACCCUAAGGGCCCCCACACAGAGGCCCUGUCCCAACCUCGCCCUAGCACAGAACCAGCACUGGAAGCAGGAAGCUGCGCUGUGGACCUGGAAUUUCCUGACAUGGAGGAUCCUCACACUUGUUUGUCCACAUGCUGGAGUUUUUCUUGGCUGUGUCCCUCCAGACAGAAGCUGGGCCAUGUAGGGACACAGCAGGAAUUUACAGUAUCUUGCCAUUCUGAUCUCCAGAGUCUCUGCCAAUUUACACUCCCACCAACAGCUAGGCGGCUGGGCUUCCCCACAGCUGUACUAACACUUGGUAUUGUCAGCCUUUUUAAUUGUUGCCAAUCUGAUGGGUGUGAAAUGGCAUCUCAUUGUUGUUUUGCUUUGCAUUUCUCUGAUUCCUGCAGAGGCUGAGAUAUCUCUUCUUCCACUGGUUGGCCACUGGGCAUGUUUUGGAAUGUUCUGGAAUGCCUUGACAACACUUUGUUUAUUUUCUUAUCA